CCUACGGGAGGCAGCAGUGAGGAAUAUUGGUCAAUGGACGAGAGUCUGAACCAGCCAAGUAGCGUGCAGGAUGACGGCCCUAUGGGUUGUAAACUGCUUUUAUACAGGGAUAAAGUGCACUACGUGUAGUGUUUUGUAGGUACUGUAUGAAUAAGGACCGGCUAAUUCCGUGCCAGCAGCCGCGGUAAUA
rnacentral:rRNA from 1 species